UCAGGUCUCCCAAGUCCUGGACUGUGUUCACCCUGCCCUGCUGCUCGAACUUUUCAAUAACUGCCACUUUGAGAUGGGCUGACUUGACGUACCCUCUCCUUAAAACUGUGAAAUGUUUUUUUCAAACUGAAGGAAACUCCCAGGCCCCUGCCCACUCAUGCCAACGGUGGCUCACACACAGGUACUAGUAACAUCCCCUUUGACAAGUGAAGAAACCGAGGCUUGGCAAGGUUAAUCAGCGUGCCCAAGGUCAGCCAGCUCCCUGAAGUCUGACUCUACCAGCCUCAACCGUUACCAGGGCGGCGAUGGUCAGCAGUCACAAUUACCAGGGGCUGCAGGAGAUCGUCAAAAUCUCGCAGAGCCUACGAUGAAGAAGACACAAGAGUUUGAGAGAGAGGAAGUCACUCGCUCCAGGUCAGCCAGCCAGCAAAUUGGGGAGGUCAGCCUUCAGAGCUCUGGCAACAGACCACUGCCAUGUCACAAAUAGCUUCCCAGCUUGCGAGAGUGUCUGGUAAGGGAUGAGUGAAUGGGGGAGACGGCAGGAAACUCAGCAGCCACAAAAGGGAGAGAUGUGCAGCCUGUUCAGGAACGAACACCAGGUGGAACAAAAGCGGGGCAGAACAAGAGCAUGUGCAUCCUCUUACCACCAUGACAUUAAGGCCAUGUCUGCACCCGGACCAAGAUGGGAAGGGAGCACAGAGCUGUGACUUCAGGGAAUAGGAAGGAUGGCAACAGACAUGGGGUUCUCUAUGACUUUCCAUUUUAUCUUCCAUUUUCACAGUAAGUUUUAAAACUCUACGUCUCCAGAUUCAGCAUGAGAAGGAGAAGUUCCUUGAAUCCUCUGGGCACUGGGGACAGCCAGUCCACCCACCCUGGGUAACAAAGGGAUGUGGUCAGUCCUCACGUGAGGAGGGACUGAGUGUCCUCCAUGGACCUGCGACGUCCCGUCUGUGAGGCCCUCGCUACUUUCUGCAAAUUUCUACAUGGAUCAGAGACAGGAGAAGCAGGCACACUGAUGGUUGUCUAGCACCACGUGCCAGUUUUUGGCAGUCGGGACCACCUCGACUUCCUGUCUCCAGGCAGGGUGGGGAGGGAAUGGUCCUUAUGCCCCAGGAGAGCCUCAAGGGCUGUGCACACCCUGCAAUGCAGGCACACCCCCUUCCACCCUCUGAAUGCUCUGCCACAAACAGCCACUGCGAGCGUAAUGAAGCCCCCAAAACAGGGAGCCCUGUGACUCACCACUGCUGCUUCAGGGACAGGGACAACUGCCAGAAUUCUUAGCUCUCUUUUACAGAUGGGGAAAUUGGGACUCAGAGAGGGAUGCGAUCUCUCCAAGCUCACACAGCCAAUCUGUGGCAGGGGAAUGAGAAAGUCUGGUCUGGUCUCCUCUCCCCAUGGCUGGGGCUCUCUCUGCAGUCCCGCCCUAUGCCCAGCCUGCACCCUCACCUGCCCCUGGCUCCUGGACUGGCAACUCAAGUCGUGACACGGACACGCUUUACCGAAUUUGCCUCCACACUUUGAGCGACUCAUUAGUAUAAAAAACACGUUCCUCACCACCCUUGCCAGAAGAUUCUUGACACAACACAGUUGGGGGGUUGGCACGCUCUCUCCGUUGUUAAGUAUUUAUAUAUAGUUAGUAUUGGAAUGGUCCCCGGACACCGAUCCAAGUCUCCCGUUUUCAGAUGGGGGGCACCAGGCUUAGGGUCAGGACCCCCCUGGAACAAUUCAGUAGCACAGCUGAGACAUAAAUCCACAGAGCCUGCCCUGAACUUUCCAGCUGCUCCUUGGCAAAUGGGCCAUGGGGAAAAAAAAUAAAUAAAGGCUGCCACUUACUAAGCAUUUGCUCUGUGCCAGGCACUUUGCAUAAAUCGGUGCUAAAUCUUAUCCUAAUUCUCUCAGGGAGGCAUUUUUAUCCCCAUUUUGCAGAUGAGCAAGCUGAGGCUCAGAGAGGGCAAGCCACCUGCCCAAGGUCACAGAGCCAGGGGCUGGAAAUGGCACACAUUUCUUCCCCCACGCCAGGGUUGGCAAAUGAUAGCCCAUAGGCAAAUUGAG
rnacentral:lncRNA from 1 species